GCGGAUGUGGCGGAAUCGGUAGACGCGCGGGUCUCAGAAGCCCGUGAGAGCAAUCUCGUGGAAGUUCAAAUCUUCUCAUCCGCACCA
rnacentral:tRNA from 1 species